UCCAGUUGAACCACCCAUAAGAGGACAAAAAAAUAUUUAAAGGAUUUCAUUCGAAUUCCCUCACUCCCUCUCAUUUCCUUCACUUGUCCCAGUCCCAGCCCUAACCCAGAAAAUCAUCCCAUCGGCCACUCACAUACACCGGUGUUUAUAAACGUGGUCCAUUAGCGGCAGCAAGAAUUUCAAUGUUUGGGAACACCACGGCUGCAUUACCAAAGACGAAAUCAACAGCACCGGUGAUGUAACGGUCUCUGUAGAAUUGGCGGAGGGAAUGCGCAUAGAGAGUGGCCUAGUUUGUGUCGAUGCGGCAACGGUUUAUGACACACUGAUCUGCUCCAACUCUCAGCGCCACGGCUUGAUGCUUUUGCGGUCCUGCCGUGUUUUGGAACCAGAUGUCAGCUGCAAUUGGAAGAGAUACAUGUACCAAUGGACUGUGCAACAAAUCUGCCGAUGCUUAAGUGAACCCUGCUGCCAUCACUGUUCGUGAGUGGCAGCAGUCUGCUAUACAGUGAGGCGUAAUGGUUCUUCCAUCAGGUUGAGAAGAGAAUCAGGUUUGGAAGAAGGAGAGAGGAGGAAAUGGGAGGCAGUUCCAAUGAAAUCCCAGAAAUCCUUUUAACAUUAUUUUGUCCUUUUGUGGGUGAUUCAACCGGGUUUCUUCAGCUAACGGUUGAACACCCGUUAAUGUUACUAGAGAUUCAAGAACCCAACGUGUUGCAUUUUUAUUGGCGGGUUCACACAUCCAGUGCACCCAUGGGUGCACAGAAUGCGGACUCGCCUAUCACCAGUAGACAGCCAUGGGUUUUGGGUCCUUAGUCCUACCUGUCACAAUGCAAAAGAACACUAAUAACAGAGUAAUGGUGUUUUCUUAAUGAAUAAUAGAAUUUGCAAUAUUAACAGCUA